GAUGAACGCUGGCGGCGUGCUUAACACAUGCCAGUCGAACGGUGAAGGCGGAGCUUGUUCUGCUGGAUCAGUGGCGAACGGGUGAGUAACACGUGAGCAAUCUGCCCCUGACUCUGGGAUAAGCGCUGGAAACGGCGUCUAAUACUGGAUACGAGCUGCGAAGGCAUCUUCAGCAGCUGGAAAGAAUUUCGGUCAGGGAUGAGCUCGCGGCCUAUCAGCUUGUUGGUGAGGUAAUGGCUCACCAAGGCGUCGACGGGUAGCCGGCCUGAGAGGGUGACCGGCCACACUGGGACUGAGACACGGCCCAGACUCCUACGGGAGGCAGCAGUGGGGAAUAUUGCACAAUGGGCGAAAGCCUGAUGCAGCAACGCCGCGUGAGGGACGACGGCCUUCGGGUUGUAAACCUCUUUUAGCAGGGAAGAAGCGAAAGUGACGGUACCUGCAGAAAAAGCGCCGGCUAACUACGUG
rnacentral:rRNA from 1 species